CCAUCCAGGCUUGGUGAAAACAGCAUACUGAAUCUGAUAAUGAAACCAUUUUCCGCAGCUAAAAAGCUUCUGAUGAGUUUCAGUGCCCCACCCCCAUCAACCAGAGAAACCAGGCUCCGGAAAUACAUGCCUUCUCUUCAGCAAAUGCUGUGUACAUUGGACAUCUGAACAUGGAUUUGAGGAACAGAUGAAGAAAAAAAGAAAGAUCUGCUCACCUCUGAUAGUGGUUAGUUAUCAAAUAAGUAUGCAACAGAAGUCAAAGACCCUACUGUUUCUCUAAGGUACCAUGGGAUCGCUUAUAUCCACAUGAGCUAUCACUAACUCAAGCAGAUGGACCCUCUGUUUAACAUCUCUUCGCAUCUGAAGGAUGGAUAUAAAGAGAAUGGAUUAACAACAUGUCUGAAAUGAUUAAGACUAGACAAAGUUAACAAUGCUUUUGAAAAUUUUUUAAAAGAUUUUCAACCUAAUAUAAUGUACUAUGAUAACAUGAAGGCAUUAAUAUUUUAUUAUGGUUUGGAUGAUGAUGAUUUCUACUUUUCUGAAAAAAAACAAAUAAAAUAUAGACAGAUAGUCAAAAGAAAGAGCCAAUAUUGUACAUCAGCACUUAACAUUAAUAUACCAGAGGAUCACCUGCUUGCUAUACCAGAAUGUCAAUAUCAAUGAGCUUAGAACAGCAAGAGAAAUGCUAUGAUGUUUACAGAUGUUAUAAAUGACAAAAAUGACAGUAGAAUUGUAAUGGCAUCAAUGAAUCUGAAACUUGGUUCUGAAGAAUGUGAUAUAAGUUAUCUGCAUCUACAAUAAUUACAACAAUCAUCAGUGGUAUAUGAGUCCUACACAUCAGUAAAAUAUUGCAUCUAUUUGUGCCACUAACACAAAGAUGACAGCAGCAAACCUUAAUAAUUGCAUGAAACAAGUUCAACAUAACAUUGGGUUAUUAGCUGAAUAACAAUAGGAUGGCAGCACAGUGCUGGAAAUAAUUUAGAAUAAACUUUAUUUCAGUUUGUUUUGUAGGAUUAGCAUUAUCAAUCCUACUUUUAUUCCCAGUCUGUUCUCUGGUUAUCAGUAAUACAUUUCCUGAAUUACACACCAUUCUGAAUUAUGAGACUGCAUGGCUGCAUGACAGAACAACAUGGCGUAGGCCUCAGAGAUGACUAAUGAAGCCCACCUUACACACAACCAGGCUGAUUGAAGAAACUGAUGUUUUAGAAUGCUGGUAAUCUAGUUUGGCUUAAAGACAUUAUAGAAAUAACAGUGGUCACUACAGUACAUCAAGAUAAGAUAGACACAUAGGCUGCUAAAUACACCUUUUAUGAUGCAGCAGUCAGUGUUCAAACUGCACAAUUAAAGGGCACACAGUCAACAGCGUAUGAUCAGCUAAAAAUCAUUAAUGAAGCACUUCAGAAGUUGGAAGAACUAGAAAACUGGCAACAGCAUGAUUACUUCAUAGAGCUGGACAUAAAAAGGAAGGUCUGCAUAUGGUGCCCCUCUUGGAAGAAGAUUUUAUAAAAGCAUUGAAGCUACCUUGAGCUAUCCACAUCCACUGUCAGUGCUGAAAAAACUGCUCAAAGAAAUUGUAAGAUGUGCAACAAAAAGGAUAACAAAAUACAACAUAUAUGCUAAGGGAAGGCAAAUCAUUUCUGCUUAGUGUGUGUCAAAUCCAGAUCUUUCAAGAUUUUGCAAUGGACACCACAGAAAAGAUGAUGAACUAAGGUAUGCAAUAAAAAUAUUGUAUCUACAGUGCUGAAGUAAUGCUAGUCGUGUAAUGGCAAAAAAACACUGUUUUUUUUGUAUCCUUAAGCAACCUCCACAUAUUUGAUAUAGUAGUGGGUGGAUCCUAUGCCAGAAAAUUUGUCAAAGGUCAUUGUUAACACUGUCCUGAUUUACCACUCUUUGAAAAGAAUGAGUCAGUUAAGCAAGAGUGACAGUCUAAAACUGUACUGUCUUGAAUACUUGACAAGCUUGGAAAGCAAUGAUGAUCAAGGGGGGGGGGGGGAUCUGGAAGUUCAGUUAACCUCAUGAGGAAGACAUCAGUUCAACAGCUAUUUCAUGUAACAGUCAACAAUUCCUGUAUAAGAUUAGAAGUUACCACAUUAAAUUGCCAUGAAGACUCUUCCGAGCCAUGAUUCCCAGAAACAUGAAUAACUAAUGAAGGUGUAUCAUUUGAAUGGAAAAGGUUUUCCUGGCACUUAUAAUGCACCUGCAAACACACCUGCAAGCAUAAUA